rnacentral:rRNA from 1 species
CUACGGGUUGCACCAGUGGGGAAUUUUGCGCAAUGGGCGAAAGCCUGACGCAGCAACGCCGCGUGAGUGAUGAAGGCCUUAGGGUUGUAAAGCUCUUUCAAGCGGGAAGAAAAAAAUGACGGUACCGCUAGAAGAAGCCCCGGCUAACUCCGUGCCAGCAGCCGCGGUAAUACGGAGGGGGCGAGCGUUGUUCGGAAUCAUUGGGCGUAAAGAGUAUGUAGGCGGUCAAGCAAGUCAGGCGUGUAAGCCCUCGGCUCAACCGAGGAAUUGCGCUUGAAACUAUUUGACUUGAGUACGGAAGAGGAAAGCGGAAUUCCCAGUGUAGCGGUGAAAUGCAUUGAUAUUGGGAAGAACAUCGGUGGCGAAGGCGGCUUUCUGGUCCGAUACUGACGCUGAGAUACGAAAGCCAGGGGAGCAAACGGGAUUAGAUACCCCGGUAGUC